CCUUCAUGAAGCCGGAAUUGCUGUAAUGGCAGGUCAGCAUACUGCCGUGAAUACGUUCCCGGGCCUUGUACACACCGCCCGUCACACCAUGAGAGUUGGGAAUACCCGAAGCCUGUGAGCUAACUUUUCAAGAGGCAGCAGUCGAAGGUAGAAUCAAUGAUUGGGGUGAAGUCGUAACAAGGUACC
rnacentral:rRNA from 1 species